UGGGGGAUAUUGCACAAUGGGCGAAAGCCUGAUGCAGCGACGCCGCGUGGGGGAUGAAGGCUUUCGGGUUGUAAACCUCUUUCGCUAUCGAACAAGGCCCGCUUAGGGUGGGUUGAGGGUAGGUGGAGAAGAAGCGCCGGCUAACUACGUGCCAGCAGCCGCGGUAAUACGUAGGGCGCGAGCGUUGUCCGGUAUUAUUGGGCGUAAAGGGCUUGUAGGCGGCUUGUUGCGCCUGCUGUGAAAACGCGGGGCUUAACUUCGCGCGUGACGUGGGUACGGGCAGGCUUGAGUGUGGUAGGGGUGACUGGAAUUCCAGGUGUAGCGGUGGAAUGCGCAGAUAUCUGGAGGGACACCGAUGGCGAAGGCAGGUCACUGGGCCAUUACUGACGCUGAGGAGCGAAAGCAUGGGUAGCGAACAGG
rnacentral:rRNA from 1 species